rnacentral:rRNA from 1 species
UACGUAGGGUGCGAGCGUUAAUCGGAAUUACUGGGCGUAAAGCGUGCGUAGGCGGUUCGUUAAGUUCGUUGUGAAAGCCCCGGGCUCAACCUGGGAACUGCAAUGGAAACUGGCGGGCUUGAGUGUGGCAGAGGGGGUGGAAUUCCGCGUGUAGCAGUGAAAUGUGUAGAGAUCGGGAGGAACACCGGUGGCGAAGGCGGGUCUCUGGGCAUCUCCUGACGCUGAGGCGGCGAAAGCGGUGGGGAGCAAACGGG